CAAACGUGGCUUGAGGAAAGAUUGUGUCUGUUUGUCAUGAUUCAGUAAUUCCCCUUUUCAGUCCAUUUCCAGCAGCGUGGACCGGCUCGUCAGCAAAAGAACAAGCCUCACCUUGUCGGCUCCAGCUGACGGCAUGGUCGCUCCUCUCCAGCUGCUGCCAUCCGCUCCUCACUCCUCUUCCAGUGGCAUGAAGGAACCAGUUAUUUCGAGACGCCUUCAACUGCAAGAGGUUCCUGAGGCUGCACCCAUCCUCUCACAAACGCGGAUCCUGAGCGUUCUCCAAUGGGAGGUGGCGAGCCGAGUGGCAGAUGCUGUCAAGGACAUCACCCCACCAGUGAAGUGCCCACCUGGCCUGCUGUACGUCACCCCUGCGCUGCAUUUCGAGGUUCUGACCUAGUCAUACGGUUCCAGGAUUGCUUGUCAUCCGGGGCUCCACUUUGGUGGCCGUCCUGGCAAGCGAACGCCAAGCAGUUUGUGGCGGCCUGCUCAGUGUGUGCACGCAACAAGGCUUCCCACCGGGCUCCUUCUGGCCUUCUCCGCCUACUUUCCAUUACCCCUCCGCCCUUGGUCGCACAUAUCAGUGGAUUUUGUUUGUGGGCUCCCUUCUUCUGACAACAACACUGUGAUUCUUACUAUUGUUGACCGUUUCGCCAAAAUGGCCCAUUUUGUUCCCCUCCCCAAACUCCCCUCUGCCUUG